UACGGAGGGAGCUAGCGUUGUUCGGAAUUACUGGGCGUAAAGCGUACGUAGGCGGCCAAUCCAGUCAGAUGUGAAAGCCCAGGGCUCAACCCUGGAAUUGCCUUUGAAACUAGUUGGCUUGAAGAUGGGAGAGGUGAGUGGAAUUCCGAGUGUAGAGGUGAAAUUCGUAGAUAUUCGGAAGAACACCAGUGGCGAAGGCGGCUCACUGGACCAUUCUUGACGCUGAGGUACGAAAGCGUGGGGAGCAAACAGG
rnacentral:rRNA from 1 species